GGAUCGUUAGCGCAGUCUGGCAGAGCAGUUGGCUCAUAACCAAUCGGUCGAGGGUUCGAAUCCUUCACGAUCCA
rnacentral:tRNA from 1 species